rnacentral:rRNA from 1 species
UACCCAUGCCGAACACAGUAGUUAAGCCCUAGAACGCCUGAAGUAGUUGGGGGUUGCCCCCUGUGAGAUACGGAAGUUGCUUAGCUUAGAUCCACUUGGGGGAGUUUAGCUCAGCU